CAUAUCAACUUUUGAUUCCAGUUUUCUUCACAAGCCUCUACUAUUGUGUACAUAGUUUAUACUAAGUGACCCAUAAGUUGAGGAGGCGGUGACCGUGGCAGUGUAGGUGGAAGCAGCGGUGGAGGAGGAGGAUGAGGUAGCCAUCACUGUUUUUUAUAUAUAUAUAUAUAUAUAUUUAAAAAAAAAAAAAAUUUUGAUGGCGACUUUGCAUUCGGAUGUCAUCCAUAUCAACUUUCGAUGCCAGUUUCUACGCCUACCAUGGUGACCACAGGAAACGGGGAAUUAGGGUUCCAUUCUGUACAGGGCCCCUGAGAAAUGGUUACCACAUGCAAGGAAGGCAG
rnacentral:rRNA from 1 species